AGUGAACGCUGGCGGUGCGCCUAGAACAUGCAAGUCGAGCGCCCAGCACCCUGUCCUUAGAGAUGAGGCCAGAGUGCUGGGAGCGGCGAACGGCUGCGUAACACGUGGGUACCUACCCCGAACUCAGGGAUAACCUUCCGAAAGGAAGGCUAAUACCGGAUAGUCUCGAAAGAGUAAAGCUUUCGCGGUUCGGGAGGGGCCUGCGGCCUAUCAGGUAGUUGGUGAGGUAACGGCUCACCAAGCCUAUGACGGGUAGCUGGUCUGAGAGGACGACCAGCCAGAAUGGGACUGAGACACGGCCCAUACUCCUACGGGAGGCAGCAGUUAGGAAUCUUCCGCAA
rnacentral:rRNA from 1 species